rnacentral:rRNA from 1 species
CACCGGCGGCUCGAGUGGUGGCCACUUUUAUUGGGUCUAAAGCGUCCGUAGCCGGCUUGGCAAGUCCCCUGGGAAAUCUGGCGGCUUAACCGUCAGGCGUCCAGAGGAUACUGCCAGGCUUGGGACCGGGAGAGGUGAGAGGUACCUCAGGGGUAGGGGUGAAAUCUUGUGAUCCCUGAGGGACCACCAGUGGCGAAGCCGGUCUCCUGGGCCGUUCCUGACGCUGAGGCCCGAAAGCUAGGGGAGCAAACCGG